UUUUAAUUCAUCAUUACUUUACAGUGAUUGUUUUAAACUCCAUACCAUUAAUCUCUAUCACUAGCAAAGGCCAACAAACAAUUAUGACCAGUUUCUACAGUGCCAUCGGGCACAACAUGAUAAUAUCGAGAGAGUGACAUCCAACCAGAGGGCAUUCCACACCAUAGAAACAUGUCACAAACUGUAGAAGAAGAAAUGCCAGAGGAAGUGAUGAACAUAGACAACUUCAACUUCAGCAAGAUAGAGAAGUUCAGUGCAACUGUAGACAAGACCAAUCAGUGUUCAGUGGCAACAAUUAGUGCAAGACAUCGACUUUGUGUCACCAACUUACCUACUUCACCUCCAUCAAAAUAUAAAUGCAACUACAUAAACUACCAAAAAUAUUGUUCUGCCCAUCUUUUCCUUAAAGGCAAUGAAAUUCAAACACACAGUGCUGAUAAUAUGGACCAAAUGUGUGCAUGUUGUUCUGCGAGGUUGCUUGCAUGGGAGUUCAGUGACAAUUCAGCUACCAUGUGUUCCACAAGGGGGAGGUUAACUUAGACCCCAUUAAAGUUUGUGAAGAGCUUCAAAACCUCAUAGAUCUGAAUAAUGACUAUACUAAGAACAUUAUAGGAAAUAUUAGACAGUUUAACAAUGCUCUGGCAUUUGCAUCAGUUUAGUUUAAGACAGGUGAUAUUUCUUGCAGCAGUCCACAUUGCAUGGAUAGGUGUAUCAUAUGGUAGGAAGUUGCACCAACUUAUGCUGACCUCUUCAUUAUAGAUUUUGAUACUCCAUUACAUCAUCAUAUAGAGAAUAAAGCCAAUAGAACAUGUUGCAGGGAAAUGCUUGAUACACACAAUCCUUAUGCACAGUUGUUUAAAUAUAUAAAAGAUGUAGCUCACCGUGUACCUGAUUUUCAAAUGCAAUUCAAUACUAAUAAGACAUUUCAUCCUGGAAGAUCCAAUGUGCCUACAGUCAGUGAGGUGGCUGCUGUUUUUAGCACUGGUGACAGAACACAACCAGGUAAUUUUGAUUUUUUCCUCUGUUCUAAAAGAACUGGCACACUUACGACAGUAUCUUACUUGAAUCCUCAUUUUGAUCUGAUGUGCUGUUAACUGCUUUUUCCAUAUGGUGGGUCUGGAUGGACUGUAGGUAAGCCUCAUGUUCAAGUUCAUGAUACUGCAUUGAUAACAGUCACAACACAGCUACAGUACUAUUGUUAUCAUCUAGCAGUUGGAGAGGGUUUCACUGUACUUCAUGCUUCAGGUAAAUUAUUUCAACAACAUAUUGUUGACAGUUAUAUCAAAGUAGAAGGUUUAUUCAAUCUCAUAAAAAAGAACUUGUAGCUGAUAGUUACAAAGGUUUGAUGGACUUUCUUUACACUGAUGCUGAACAAGGGGGAGCAAUUAGGGAAUAUAUAUACUGAUCUUCCUUCUGCUUACAAUGAGAGUCCUUGCAGUAUGCUUCAAAAUUAUCAAGACGCGACUGCCAUUGUUGCCCACUUAGGAAAGCCUGAUCUGUUUCUCACAGUUACUUGCAACUGCAAGUGGACUGAAAUUACCUCUCAGCUGAAACAGAUGAACAUAGAUCUGAAUUAAUUUCUAUGGGUAAAUUUGGUAGCUUUAUAACACAAUCUGUUUAAAAACACAUGUACUAGGUGUAGUCAUUGGUUAUGUUUAUGUUGUUGAAUUGCAAAAGGGAGACAUCCGCCAUGCAUACUUUGUGCUCAUUCUGUCAAAUGAAGAUAAAUUACAUUCAUUUGAAGAUGUAGACACUUUAAUUUGUCCAGAAAUUCCAGAUAAAGAAAUGGACCCCAAACAUUUUGAAGUUAUUCAGGAAUUCUUGGUACACAGACCUUGUGGUACUGUCAAUCUGAACAGUCCCAGCAGGCAAGAACAAAAAAUAUGAAAAAUUAUCCAAAACAUUUUCAGGAGGGAACUGACUUAAAUGUUGAUGGUUACCAUAUUUAUAGAUGAUGUAGUAAUGGCAUUACAGUGACAUUUUGAUCAUUUAUUGUUGAUAGUUGGUGGAUUGUACCAUUCUGCAGAUUUCUCAGUAGAAAAUAACACUCUCACAUCAAUCUUGAACAUUGUUCUUUGAUCAAAUCUGUUACAUAUUUGUUCAAGUAUGUGUAUAACAGAAAUGACUGCAUGGCUUUAGUAUUUGCAUUCAGAUUCGGAAGGUGAAUGACAAUUUGUUGUUGAUGAAGUCAAGAUUUACUUGAGUUGUUGUCAUGUGAGACCACCUGAGAUUCUAUGGUGACUGCGCGAAGUCUGGAUUUUCCAUCAAUGUCAUACGAUCGAGCGACGAUCCGUCCAUUUAUCAGAACAACACAUGAUGUACUUUCAGGCUAACCUUCAUAGGGACUACAAAUUCGUGGCAUUUUUUAAUUGUUCAAGUACAGUAUUACCUCACACAAGUACCUUUACCAUGAAAUCCCAGAACAUUUUGUGUGGUCAAAAGGACAAUGGAUUAUUCACAAGACAAACUCCAAGUGCUUUGGACACACCUGCACUGUGAAUCCACCUCCAAGUACAGCUUCUGCAUGUCUAAGGACAACAAUCAUUUGACGGUCUAGGCACAGUUGAUGUAAUACUGUGGAUCUCUUUACUCUAAACUGUAGAAAAAUUACAUUUAGUCAUUAAUUAACACUGGAUGGAAAGAAUGUUUGCAGGAGGCUGCCAGAUACCAAAUGCCAACACAGUUGAGACAGAUUUUUGCCAUCAACUGUAUAUUCUGUUCUUUCAAUAUACCUGAGUUGUAAACAUAUCAGGACACACUCUCAGAAGAUUUUUCAGAAACAGCACACACACACCUGAAGUCUACAACCGUACGUUGCUAGAAUCGGAGAAUGGUUUUAAAUUUCAUGGCAAAUCUUGCCAACAGUUCCACCUGCCGACCCGUGAAAAAGUUAAACAAAGAACAGAAGGCAGUAGCUGAUUCAGUCAGAAAUAAGAUUCCCAAUUGUUGCCUCACUGGUGGACUUGGAGUCUCUGGAAAAAUAUUUGUCUACAAAACUUUGUAUUGCAUUUUAUGAAGUGAAAACAAAGUUGUUUUAGCUGUUGCAUGGACAGGUAUUGCUACCAAUCUCCUGCCAGGGGGACGCACAUCUGAUUCAAUUUUCAAACUACCUGUAACUAUCUUAAAUGUAUCAGUCUCAUUAAUUCUCACUCACACUAAGGAUGCAUAACUUUUCUGUAACUCUUAUCUCAUCAUUUGGGAUGAGAGUUCACUGGUUCCGAAAGAAGUGCUAAGUGUUGUCGAUCGACUUUCAAGGGACUACAUGAAUAAUAAUCUCCCUUAUGGAGACAAAAUAAUUCUGUUUGGUGGAGAUUUCCUUUAAAUAGCACACAUCAUUAGACCUGCUAAUGGAACAGUCUUUGCUGAAACUACAUUUAAAUAAUAACCGUUAUGGUGUCCAUGUUAAAAUUCACAAACUAGCUAAAGAUAUGAGGGCAAAUUAUAAUACCAUAUUCACUGAGUGGUUACUUAAGUUGAGUAAUGGUGAAUUAGGAAAUCAAACAGAUUACUUCAAUGAAGCAAUCAAAAUUCCUAAACAUUGUUAUUGUAAUUACAAUAGUUUUAUUGCCACCAUAUUCAAUGCCACAGAAAGCAAUGAACAAAAUGUUAUGCAAUUCUAGUUGCAGGCAAUACUAUGUUCAGAUAAUGAUGACUGUACAACAGUUAAUUAAUUUGUGACUUCCAGUUUGUUACAUGUAGAGGCAAAGAUCUACCUCAGCUCUGUAUUCUGUCCAUCUUGAAGAAAUUAACAACGUUCAUAUGUACCCUGUAGAAUUCUUGGACUCAUUAAAUCCAUCCAGUUUACCACUUUAUAAAUUGCUUGUAAAGAAAAGUGCUAUUAUUAUGUUAGUUAGAAAUCUUAAUGCUAAUCAGGGGUUAAUUGUUGUGAAAUAUUAGUUGUAACUCAGUUAGAUGAGUAUAUCAUUACUAAAUUCAUUGACUUGUCUAAAAAUGAGCUCAUACUUCCCGUUAACCUCACACCUUCUGAUCCAACCUUGUCUUUCCAAAUGAUAAGAAAACAAUUUGCAAUGAAAGAGCAUUUGUUGUGACAAUUAAUAAAGUGUAAGGUCAAAUGCUUUAAAGGGCAGGGUUGUAUUUACCAGAAUGUGUUUUUUGCAUGAGCAGUUAUACUUUUUCACGAAUUUACACAUUCACUGAUAUUUAUGUUUGUGCUGAAGACACUACAGCCAUAAGGUUAACAAUGAUCACGUUAUAACUUCUUACAAUAUUAUUAAAGAAGUUUUGUAAAAUAAAGAAGUUUGAAAAAAUAAAAUAUGACAAAGGCAGUAUUUGCUUGGUAUAUGUUUUACAAUUAAACAUAUUGUAUAUAAUGAUACUGAUUUUUUGUAGAGAGACUAAUAUUUGUUACUACUAUUCAAAUAAUAUGUUUCAUUAAUAGAUAUUUGUAUUUAUGUAUAUCUCUGUUACUGUAUUACCUGUCGGUAAUUGAGCAGGAUAGAGUGCAAAUUAUUUGCAUGGGUCAACUAAUAUUCAUUACUAUACAUUGUCAUCGUCAUUAUUAUUAUUAAAUAUUGCUCAUGUACCAUACAAUCUGUAAUGUUUACUCACUAAGAAAGCCUGGUUAGAUGUAAGAGAGUGCCUGAAGUCUCUAAUCCUGCUAGGUGAAAUAAAUACAUAAAUAAAGACUGUUGUAACAGUCUGUA